rnacentral:lncRNA from 1 species
AUGAAUGCCUGGAUGGGCUGGUUGGGUUCCAAAUUCAGUGAGUUCAUAUCGCCAUCUAGUGUUCAAAACAGGAUUGUCCUCACAACAGCGGAGACAAGGCAAGGCUGCAAAAGAUUUUGUGUGCUGUGGCUUCUUGCCUUUGCUGGCACAAAAAUAAGUCUGUCCACACUCUGGCAACCCUUCUUCCAGAAGUCUUGGUCCACCAGUGACAAAACUUCCCUUUACGAUGCAGAAAAAGGAAGAUCCAUUGCCAUACUUCUGAGGCUGAGUGUGUUGAGAUUGCUUGUGGCACCUGAUAUUUGAACUCACAAAGUUCCCUCAUGUGGCAGUUACAUUCUGGAGUCUCACAGCCAUCCUCAGCCAGGUACUCUUCAUCAUAACCAUAAGCCUGACCUCAGAACCUCAGAAUUAAAACCUC